rnacentral:rRNA from 1 species
GACGAACGCUGGCGGCGUGCCUAAUACAUGCAAGUAGAACGCUGAAGGAGGAGCUUGCUCUUCUGGAUGAGUUGCGAACGGGUGAGUAACGCGUAGGUAACCUGCCUGGUAGCGGGGGAUAACUAUUGGAAACGAUAGCUAAUACCGCAUAAGAGUAGAUGUUGCAUGACAUUUGCUUAAAAGGUGCAAUUGCAUCACUACCAGAUGGACCUGCGUUGUAUUAGCUAGUUGGUGAGGUAACGGCUCACCAAGGCAACGAUACAUAGCCGACCUGAGAGGGUGAUCGGCCACACUGGGACUGAGACACGGUCCAGACUCCUACGGGAGGCAGCAGUGGGGAAUAUUGGACAAUGGGCGAAAGCCUGAUCCAGCCAUGCCGCGUGUGUGAAGAAGGUCUUCGGAUUGUAAAGCACUUUAAGUUGGGAGGAAGGGCAGUAAGUUAAUACCUUGCUGUUUUGACGUUACCAACAGAAUAAGCACCGGCUAACUUCGUGCCAGCAGCCGCGGUAAUACGAAGGGUGCAAGCGUUAAUCGGAAUUACUGGGCGUAAAGCGCGCGUAGGUGGUUCAGCAAGUUGGAUGUGAAAUCCCCGGGCUCAACCUGGGAACUGCAUCCAAAACUACUGAGCUAGAGUACGGUAGAGGGUGGUGGAAUUUCCUGUGUAGCGGUGAAAUGCGUAGAUAUAGGAAGGAACACCAGUGGCGAAGGCGACCACCUGGACUGAUACUGACACUGAGGUGCGAAAGCGUGGGGAGCAAGCAGG